rnacentral:rRNA from 1 species
CUAAUACAUGCAAGUCGAGCGAAUGGAUUAAGAGCUUGCUCUUAUGAAGUUAGCGGCGGACGGGUGAGUAACACGUGGGUAACCUGCCCAUAAGACUGGGAUAACUCCGGGAAACCGGGGCUAAUACCGGAUAACAUUUUGAACCGCAUGGUUCGAAAUUGAAAGGCGGCUUCGGCUGUCACUUAUGGAUGGACCCGCGUCGCAUUAGCUAGUUGGUGAGGUAACGGCUCACCAAGGCAACGAUGCGUAGCCGACCUGAGAGGGUGAUCGGCCACACUGGGACUGAGACACGGCCCAGACUCCUACGGGAGGCAGCAGUAGGGAAUCUUCCGCAAUGGACGAAAGUCUGACGGAGCAACGCCGCGUGAGUGAUGAAGGCUUUCGGGUCGUAAAACUCUGUUGUUAGGGAAGAACAAGUGCUAGUUGAAUAAGCUGGCACCUUGACGGUACCUAACCAGAAAGCCACGGCUAACUACGUGCCAGCAGCCGCGGUAAUACGUAGGUGGCAAGCGUUAUCCGGAAUUAUUGGGCGUAAAGCGCGCGCAGGUGGUUUCUUAAGUCUGAUGUGAAAGCCCACGGCUCAACCGUGGAGGGUCAUUGGAAACUGGGAGACUUGAGUGCAGAAGAGGAAAGUGGAAUUCCAUGUGUAGCGGUGAAAUGCGUAGAGAUAUGGAGGAACACCAGUGGCGAAGGCGACUUUCUGGUCUGUAACUGACACUGAGGCGCGAAAGCGUGGGGAGCAAACAGGAUUAG